rnacentral:rRNA from 1 species
UCCUUAGAUGUUCUGGGCCGCACGCGUGCUACACUGAGUGGAUCAGCGGGUCAGGUUGCGCGAAAGUGUUUCCUAAUCUUGAAAUCCGCUCGUGAUGGGGAUUGACGGUUGCAAUUUUCUGUCAUGAACGAGGAAUACCUUGUAAGCGCGGGUCAUCAUCCCGCGCUGAAUACGUCCCUGCCCUUUGUACACACCGCCCGUCGCUCCUACCGAUUGAGUGGUCCGGUGAGGCUUUGGGAUCUGGAUGGAAAGAGCGUUUCGCUGUUUCUGCCCGGAAAACUCAGUCGAACCUUAUCAUUUAGAGGAAGGAGAAGUCGUAACA